rnacentral:rRNA from 1 species
GUCGCUACUACCGAUUGGAUGAUUUAGUGAGGCCUUCGGACUGGCUCAGGGGGGUUGGCAACGACCGCCCAGAGCCGGAAAGUUGGUCAAACUUGGUCAUUUAGAGGAAGUAA